GGGAUGUUAACUAGACUUGUUGUGCUGAUUGCUUCAAAAUAUAUUCAAAUAUCAAAUCAUUAUGUUGUACAUUCAGAACUAACAUAAGGUCACAUGUCAAUAAUACCUAAAUUUAAAAAAGAAUGUCUUUAGUUGUUGGCAUUUUCUAUUAUUCAGGAAUGCAUUCUCUCACAAACAGGAAAUCUGACUGAGGUGGCAUAAAUAAAUGAAAAUUUAUUUUGUAAAAAGAUACUAAAGGAGUUCCUGCUAUGUGCCACAGGUUAAGGAUUUGGCAUUGUCUCUGCAGCAGCUCGGUCGCUGCUGAGGCGUGGGUUCGAUCCCCCACCUGGGAACUUCCAUAUGCCAUGGGUGCUCCCCCCCCAGAAAAAAAACAAAACUAAAAUAUUCACUAGCCUUCAAGGCUAAGUUCUGAUGCCACUUUCUUCAUGAAACUGUCUGUGGUUUCUCUGGCAGAUGUAAGAACGAUCUCUCCUGUACUCUUAUUUGUACAUUACCAGGUCUUUCCCUUGUACCUGUCACAUGCUGCCAUGUCUGCAGGUAUCUUUGUCACACCAGAGUGGUGUUUUGCUGAAGGUAGUCACUGCAUCUUAAUCCUCUUUGCAUCCUCUACAGGGGGUACCAUGAUGCUUUGUAUAUACCAUAGUAAUUUGCUCAAAUCAUACUUGUUCAAAUAGAUUAUUUGUUCUUUGUUGAAGCUUUGUGUAUUUUUUUUGGCCAUGCCAAAACUUAAACAUACACAAAGAUAUGUUUAAGUUCUGGGGCCAGGGAUGGAACCACACCACAACAGUGACAACACCAGAUCCUCAACCAGAGCCACCAGGGAACUCUUGUAUAUUGAUUUUUAUAGUUUGGAUAUCAUUAAGCAUUUUUAAAAAUGAUAGUGGUCUUGGUAUAUGAGAGUAUAGAUCCUUUCCAAAUUGUCCUAUUUAAGGAUAUUUUUAAAAAAUUAGCUCAUUAAAAGAGAAACUCAAAUACGCUAUAAUCAACAGCUCUCUGAUAGAAGAGAACCUGAGAGCUGAAGAAUUUAGAAAAAGAAGCAAGAUGAAAUCGAGGUUCUCUGCUUAAUGGAACCUGUUAGCAAUGUCGGAAGAUACCACUAAGCAAACUUCUGGGCACUGUUUUCCAGAUGGACUGAUGACCUAUUUGGUGUUAGAGAAGAAUGGUUGUUCUUUUGCAGAUACAGUUUCAGGGCAGGAGGAUAGAAAAUUCACUGUUUUUUCUGAAACCAAAACAGUAAAUAAACUCUGUGCUUUCCACUAUUUGAACCAUCUCUUAAUUUUGUUUUCAGUCUCCAGACACCAAUCAUCUUGAUAUUUACAUUCAGGAACACAAUAUAUUGACAGAUUUUGACUUUACUUACAUUUAGCAUUCGUUACUUAAGAUAAGCCUCUGAUAAGUUUUCAACUUUUAAUGUUAUUAGACCUAAUCAAAGACCAUGUCUUAGUGUUCAGUGGUAGAUUCUUCUCUUCUGAUUGACUGAUUUCACUUAGCAUGAUAAUUUCUAGGUCCAUCCAUGUUGCUGCAAAUGCUGUUACUUCUUUCCUUUUAAUGGCUGACAGUAAUAUUCUAUUGUGUAUAUGUACCACAUCUUCUUGAUCCACUCCUCUGUUGAUGGACAUUUAGGUUGUUUCUAUGUCUUGGCUAUUGUAUAUAGUGAUGCAAUGAACAUUGGAGUACAUGUAUCUUUUCAAGUCAUGGUUUUCUCUGGAUAGAUGCCCAGGAGUGGGAUUGCUGGAUCAAAUGGUAAGAACAAUAACUGCUGGAGAGGGUGUGGGGAAAAGGGAACUCUAUUACACUGUUGGUGGGAAUGUAAAUUGGUGCAACCACUGUGGAAAACAGUAUAGAUUCCUCAGAAAACUAAAAAUAGAAUUGCCAUUUGACCUAACACUUCAAUAACUAGCUACUUAAUUUUAUUUUGUUAAUCAAUUAUUUUUGUUACUAAGUCCAAGCACACACUGUCUGCCACAUGACAGGCCAAUUAAUUGAAAGACAAGUUGUUGGGGCAAGGAAUAGCAACUUCAUUUGCAAAGACAGUAGACCAAGGAGAUGAAGGUCUAGUGUCCCAAAGAACUAUCUUGCCUGAGUUAGAAUUCAGGCUUGUUUUAUACUAAAAGGGGAAGGCGUAAAAGUCAAGCAUUUCCUGGAUCUGGUAGGCCUCUGGAGGAGAUGUGCUAAUUUCUUGCCUCCUGCAGUCAUUCACCGGUGGGCCUGGCAGAAUGUUUCCUGUGAGCUAAACAAAGAUAUUUUAGCUUAAUGUUCAUUGCCUGGAAGGGUUCCCAGAGAUGGGUUACUAUGCAUUCUUUAAGCUUAUGGCAAUAUCUCUUUAGUGAUUAACAUGUGAUAGAAUACAAAAGUUUUUUCCUAGUGCAUUUUCAUUGCUUUGACAAAUAUUUUGUUGAGCCCCUCAGUCCACACUGGGAACACAGUGCCACAGUGGACCAGAAAACCAUCAUCUCCACAGUUAGUGAGUUUAUGACUGAAGGUAGGAGACCAAAAAAAAUAAAGAAUGAAUUAAGCGAUAAGUUUCUGCCUUUGGGUCAUUGCCUGAAGGAUUCCUCCAGUUUGGGAUGCUUUUCCCUCCAACUUUUAUUUUUCAGGCUUCUACAUACCUUUCCCGUCUCAGCAUCAAUGGCACCUCCCAGGAGAGGGCUUGAAUCCCCCAAUCUCAAGAACUUCUCCCCUCCCAAGCCUCUCCCCAUCCCAUCCUCCUCAUCCAAAGUUCUUAGAUACAAACACCUCUUUUAACAAAAAGAAAUUUCCUCUUAAUUUGAGUGCAAACUAAUUAGUACUACAAUCUUUAUUUACUUUAUUAUGAACAUGUAUAUAUUUUAUGACAGUCACAUGAAUGUGUUUGAUUGUGGGGAGCUGACUCAGCCCCUGUUGGCUUAACAAGUGUUAUGGGCACUGUGUUACCUUUCUAAAUUGAAUAAUAUUGAAUUUUGAAAUACUUGUAGUCCCAGUGGUUUAGGAUAAAGGAUUAUGAACCUGUCCUACCUAAAUUUCUCCUGGAUACUGAUUAGCUGAGUUCUUUAUUUGCUUGUUUCCUUGACAAGAAUGAUAGCAGAGAUCUUGUCCCUCUUGUUCACUCUGUUCUGAAUAUAGAGCCGUAAGUGUGUGCUUAACAAUAAAUAUUUAAGUGAGUGAGUGAUCACUUUCCCACGCAAAGUACCUAGUGGUCUAGUGGAGAUUUGGCUGGGGGAGGGGAGAGGCGAUGUCCGAGAAAGCUUGUGGGAGGAACUGAUGGCAGAUCUAAGACCUAAUUACCUAGGCAGUGCUCAGGACGGGGAGGAGGGAGAGAAAGAGCGGGUGCAGAGGAGAGUGGCCCAUUUAAGGAAGGGAAAGAAGUUCAUUGUGGCUGAUGCACAGACUUGGCGGGAGGUGGGGGGGUUGGCCAGUGAGACUGGAGAGCAACUGAAGGAGGGUUUUCAACCAUACUAAGGGAUUUUAUCCUUCAGGCAAAGGGGAGUGAUGAUGGUGUAAAGGUAUCAACUCAUUUAAUCCUACCAGCAACAGGAAAGCAGUGGAAAGCAGGCACCGAUCGUCCAUUUUACACAUAAGAAAUGUGAGAGUCAGGGAAGUUUAAAGGACUUUCCUGGCAUGGUCUGUUUAAUUUGUGGCAGAGCUGUGACAAACCCAGGUUGUCUGGCUCAGGCCUCCAUGCUUCCUUUUAGAGAAAUGGUGAAAACUCUAUGAGAAGUAGAAGAUCUUGAUGAUGAAAAGUGACCAAUACCAGCAUAAAAUAACAACCCCCAAGUGUCCUGGUGGCUGGAACAGACAGCUGACAAUUCCUACAUCAUGGUUUGGUCUUUGCGAGUGCUAACUAGGUUUAACGGGGAAGGGUGGGGGUACAGACAGGGACUGUGCUGCAAUUUCCGUCAGCCGUUGCUGAUGGGUACAGGUGCACUGGUGACAGAAGGGACAGCUGUGUGAGGCAGAGCAAGGGAAUGUAGGGCAGGUAUCAUGACAUGAGCUGCAAAUCAAAAGCACAAUGAGAUAUCACUGCAACCUGUCAGAAUGGCUAUCAUCAAAAAACCCACAAAUAACAAAUGCUGUUGAGGAUGUGGAGAAAGUGGAACCCUCGUAUGCUAUUGGUGAGCAUGUGAAUUGGUGCACCCACUGUGGAAAGCAGUAUGGAAGUUUCUCAAAAAACUAAAAAUAGAAUUACCAUACAAGCCAGCAAUUCCACUCCAGGGUAUUUAUCUGAAAAAAACAAAAACACUAAUUAAAAAAGAUACGUGCACCCCAGUGUUCGUAGCAGCAUUAUCUACAGUAGCCAAGAUAUGGAAGCAACUCAAGUGUCUAUCAACAGAUGAAUGGAUAAAGAAAAUGUGGGAUAUAUAGAUACAUAUAUAUGAAAUGGAAUACUAUUCAGCUAUAAAAAGAAUGAAAGCUUGUCAUUUGCAACAACAUGGAUGGGUGGGCCUGGAGGGCAUUAUGACUAGUGAAAUAAAUCACAGACAGAAAGACAAAUAAUGUUAUGAUAUCACUUGUAUAUGAAAUCUUUUUUUUUCUUUUGGUCUUUUCUAGGGCUGGACCCACGGUAUAUGGAGGUUCCCAGGCUAGGGGUCUAAUGGGAGCUGUAGCUGCCAGCCUACACCAGAGCCACAGCAAUGCCAGAUCCAAGCCACAUCUGUGACCUACACCACAGCUCACGGCAAUGCUGGAUCCUUAACCCACUGAGUGAGGCCAGGGAUCAAACCUGCCACCUCAUGGUUCCUAGUCCGAUUCAUUAACCACUGAGCCAUGAUGGGAACGCCUACAUAUGAAAUCUUAAAAAAUACAGCAAACUAGUGAAUACAACAAAAAAGAAGCAGACUCACAGAUAUAGAGAACAAACUCGUGGUUACCAGUAGGCAGAGGGGAGAGGGGCAAUACAGGGGCAGGGGAUUAAGAGGUACAAGCUAUUAGGUAUAAAAUAAGCUACAAGGAUGUAUUGUAUAACAUAGGGAAUAUAGCCAAUAUUUUACAAUAACUAUAAAUGGAAUAGAACCUUUGAAAAUGUGUCGCUAUAUUGUACACCUGUCACUUAUACUGUACAGCAGCUAUACUUCAGUGAAUAAAGAAGCAUCAUCACAUUAGAAAAAGCACAGAAGCCCAGCCUACUGUGUCAGCGGCACCACUUGAAUGCCUAGAGGACAGUGCAUGCUAACUUCUGUGCUCAGGUGUAAUGAAAGGUGUGGGACACUUGCUGGCCACUCCUGGAGGUGGUACCUAACUAGGUAACUAGGAAACCGUAAGAAGAGUUUAAAAAUCAUGUCCAGACCCUUGUAUUCUUUCUUCUUUAUCAGAAACUCUUGGCCUUUACUUUCCAUCUUUGAAGCUUUAAGACUCCAUCCUGAAGAAUAUUAUUUAAGACGUGACUCGUGUGCGUGGAAACACGUUAUGUCAAACCGCCAAAUAGCUAAGGCAUACGUAUUUCUCAUAGUUUACCAUGUCUGUUGUUGCUAGAAACUUGAAAUUUUCAGAUUAGCCUCUAUGAGUAGCACAUUUCCUGGAGCACUAGCUCCAACAAAAGCCCAGACUUGAACUUGAUAAGUGAUUGGAUCAGCAGAAUCACCACCCACAAAAAGAAAGAAAGACCCCACAAAUUGGUAAUAGCUCAUCUUUGUAAUGUUUUCUAAGACAUUUGGUGUGCCUUUAAAUUUUCUUUGUCUCUUUUUGUUCAUCCUAGGAGUUCUUCCUUCAGGGAAAAAAGAAAGGACAUAUUUUGACAUGCAUUAGAGGUCCUUAUAAAGAUCUAGAGAGGAAAUAUCUGCCAGUUAGGCACAGGGAGUGUGGUAUAGUAAUAGUGGCAUUGGCUUUGGAGACGGAUGACCUGGGCCUGAUUACCAAUCUUAUCAAUUUAUGUAAUCUCUCUGAGCCUCGGUUUUCCCAUCUGUAAAAUGAGACAAUUAUAUCCACUUCUUGAGAAGUUGUAAAAAUUAAGUGAGAUGAUUCAUGUGAAAUGUGCUUAUAAAUGUUCAAAUGUCUACUGUUAAUACUAAUAAUACUAAUAGGAAUAGGAAAAUUCAGUCUUUUAAAUAUAUGGGUAGAUUCAAAUAUGUUUGAAUGUUUUAUGCCUGGAAAUUGACUGAGCGGGCUCUCUGGAAUGACAGGGGAGUCUCAUUUGGACAGUUUUAUGAAACUUGUUUCGUCAGAAGUUUGGUUGCAUUAAUAAGGAAUUUGAGCAAAAGCUAAAGUGUCU
rnacentral:lncRNA from 1 species